rnacentral:rRNA from 1 species
UUCUACACGUAGGACACCGAGAACCGUAUGGAGAGUUGGGGGUCGCCCCGUCGAGGGCGUUAAACGAUGGGAGCACCCUGCGCUUGAGUGGGGUUGAUUCUCACGGCCCCCACGUUUAUUUUUCCAUCUUUUUCAACACCUUUACUGCAGAGAGCAUGUCCGCUCGCAACGGACACAAAUCUAAAAGUUCAUAACUUUUAACGGUGGAUCUCUUGGCUCGUGCAUCGAUGAAGAACGCAGCCAGGUGCGAUAAGUAGUGUGAAUUGCAGAAUUCAGUGAAUCAUCGAAUCUUUGAACGCAAAUGGCGCUCUUGGGUUUUCCCAGGAGCACGUCUGUCUGAGUGUCGGUUUCCAAAACUAACGCACGCCAGCGUGCGGCCUUGAGGAGUCGCGGCCUUCUGCCAUAGCGGCAGUGGUGCCUCGUCCCUUGAAAUGGAGCACGACCGAUGGGCGCGUCCAGCGUCGCCACUUCGGGAAGGCCAAAAGCAUCUUUGCCCUUUCCCGAGGCGUCGUCUGGCACGCCGGUGCGGUUGGAGUUCGGCAGGGAAGCUAAGCUGCCCAUCCAUUCUUGACCUCAGAUCAGGCGAGAUUACCCGCUGAAUUUAAGCAUAUUAAUAAGCGGAGGAAAAGAAACU